UUUAAAAGCAUCUCCUCCCAAAACUAGGCGUUUUCCCCUGAAGUUUAGAGCACCAUUUCACAUCAAGGCGCCUGAUUUCAAACGGGCCAAUCAGCGCACUGCAUCAGGCUCCACCGCAGACAACGUCUGUACAGCUCCACACAAGUUUUGCUUUGGACUAAGGCAGCACGCUGUCUUCAUUUUCGUGGACUUGUUUCUCAUUUUAACGUCUGCCACAGCUCGUCUUCAGUUACUACGGGACAGCAUCUUCUGCCAGCAUCUACCAGAGGUCAGUCCAGUGGUUGCUUGCAAGAAGUCAUUGAGAUGAUUUUGACGAGAAGGGAGAGCUUCUGUUCCACUGCGUUGAGAUGACAACCCUUUCAGAAGAUGUUCAGAUGGAGAAAGUGCCACCAACGCCCUUCAUCAUUGUUUGCGGUUCCUCCUGCUUCGCUGCUGAAACAUUCAUGUUGAGCAUUGACAAGAAGAUUGUCAACGACCGCAUCACAACCUUCGCCUCUGCUAUCUGCCUAAUGUUUGGCAGUUACAGUACUACUGCUUUAACAUACACUACCCUGUGGAACUACGAUCAACACUGGAGUUCCUUCAACGGUGUUUCUUUUCCAUAAAUCCUGAGAGAGGCACCAAGGUUGAAUCAAAGAAGAAAAAAGUGUUCUCAGUCAAUCCCAGAGUCCUCACUCUCAUCUCAGACAUUGCUGACCAUGAGUGGAUCUAGUCCUACCCCUCUUGUUUGAGACAAAGUGAUAAAGGUAUACUAUGUUACAUACUCUACAGAUGUUCUGUUUUUGAAACAUUGUUACAAUUCUGAUUGUGAGUGGGAAGUUUUUAACAAUGUGAAGUUUUACUAGACAAAAUUUCUAAAAGUACAUGUUCUACUUUUGAUUCACUGUUUUAUAUAUGAAAAAUGUAUCUGGUAAAAAUGUGGUAAACCUGCGAUUUUGUUUCUUGGAUUUUAAUUUUCCCAGUUUUAAAGAUAUUUGUAUUCCAAUAGUGUAAAAGUAUGCUGCAUGUACAUUGCUGGCAUUUUGUAGUUAUCCAAAAAUUUGCAGUUGAAGUUCUCAAAACAAGUGUAAAGUUUUUGUUUGUUACCUGAUGCAGUUUAAAGAUGUACAUUUUCAGCUUUACUGCUCAGUUCUGUGUGCAAAAUAUGUGGGUGUAAACUUGUUCCUGUAAUUUCUUCAAUUCAGAUUUUCUUUCAAUUAUAGAAAAAAAAAUGUUUCAUUCUCUAUAUUUGUAUUUGGAUAAUUUGAAAAGUCAAGAUUCUGUACUGACAUUUAUGUAGUGAGAACAGCACCAAAAACACUUAAAGAUGUCUGAAUUUUCUGCUAAAGGUAAUGUGAAAUAUAAUGUGUGCUCAACUUACAGCACUGAUUUUGCACAAUUUGAACAGAACUUGUAAGAAUUCUGUGAUUCCUCAGUGUUACUGUCAUG